rnacentral:rRNA from 1 species
UACGUAGGGGGGCAAGCGUUGUCCGGAUUUAUUGGGCGUAAAGAGCGUGUAGGCGGUCAGGUAGGUCAGCUGUGAAAACUCGAGGCUCAACCUCGAGACGCCGGUUGAAACCAUCUGACUAGAGUCCGGAAGAGGAGAGUGGAAUUCCUGGUGUAGCGGUGAAAUGCGCAGAUAUCAGGAAGAACACCCGUGGCUAAGGCGGCUCUCUAGUACGGUACUGACGCUGAGACGCGAAAAGCGUGGGGAGCGAACAGG